rnacentral:rRNA from 1 species
UGCGUAGGGUGCAAGCGUUGUCCGGAAUUAUUGGGCGUAAAGAGCGUGUAGGCGGCCAGAUAAGUCCGCUGUGAAAUCUCGAGGCUCAACUUCGAGCUGUCGGUGGAAACUAUCUGGCUAGAGUCCGGAAGAGGAGAAUGGAAUUCCUGGUGUAGCGGUGAAAUGCGCAGAUAUCAGGAAGAACACCCGUGGCGAAGGCGGUUCUCUGGGACGGUACUGACGCUGAGACGCGAAAGCGUGGGGAGCGAACAGG